rnacentral:rRNA from 1 species
CAGUCGCCACGGGAAUACGGAGGGAGCUAGCGUUGUUCGGAAUUACUGGGCGUAAAGCGCGCGUAGGCGGUUACUCAAGUCAGAGGUGAAAGCCCGGGGCUCAACCCCGGAACUGCCUUUGAAACUAGGUGACUAGAAUCUUGGAGAGGUCAGUGGAAUUCCGAGUGUAGAGGUGAAAUUCGUAGAUAUUCGGAAGAACACCAGUGGCGAAGGCGACUGACUGGACAAGUAUUGACGCUGAGGUGCGAAAGCGUGGGGAGCAAACAGGAUUAGAUACCCGGGUAGUCCCUGUCUCUUAUAU